AGUAGCAAUACUUAGUGGCAGACGGGUGAGUAACACGUAGUCAACCUACCUUUUAGUGGGGGAUAACUAGCCGAAAGGUUAGCUAAUACCGCAUGUGACCGUCGAGUGGCAUCAUUUGACGAUCAAAGCAGCAAUGCGCUAAGAGACGGGACUGCGUCCCAUUAGUUAGUUGGUGGGGUAAUGGCCUACCAAGACUCCGAUGGGUAGCUGGCUUGAGAGAGCGACCAGCCACACUGGAACUGAGACACGGUCCAGACUCCUACGGGAGGCAGCAGUGAGGAAUUUUCCGCAAUGGGGGCAACCCUGACGGAGCGACGCCGCGUGUGGGAAGAAGGCCUUCGGGUCGUAAACCACUGUCGAGGGGGACGAUAUUGACGGUACCCCUGGAGGAAGCCCCGGCUAACUACG
rnacentral:rRNA from 1 species